AAACAAGGUUGCCACCAGUGACCAAACGCAACACACUUCAUAUAUGAGCUGUUGUUUCAACUUGCGGUUUAGGCCUUGCCGGACUCCUCGCAGCCAGGUGGCUUGAAAGCGAUGAAGCUGAUGCACUGUACUUGCCUGGUGUUGUCGAAGCCGAUGAUGCGGACAUAGGCGCCAGGGUAUUCCUUCUUGACCUCCUCCAACUCCUUGAGCACCUGCGUGGCGUCAGUGCACCCGAACAUGGGAAGCUUCCACAUUGUCCAGUACCUCCCGUCCUAGUACCCUGGGGAGUUGCCGUGCUCACGGAAGACGAAACCGACCUUGCUGAACUCGAGGCAAGGAACCCAUUUGGAGCGGAUGAGAUACUCGAUCUGCUUCAGGAGGGACUCCACGGUGAGAGGUGGCAGGUAGGAAAGGGUCUCGAACUUCUUGAUGCCCUCAAUUGGCCACACCUGCAAUUAGAUUAAAAUUAGCACACAAAGUGUGAUUUGAGACACAUAUCGAUGGAGUAUUUCACUUCACACAUAUCGGUAUGAUGAUAUACAUACCUGCAUGCUCGUGAUCCUGCCACCGUUGGAGACGCUGCCGAGGCCAGCGCCGGCAGAGCGGCGGCUGACGGGGAGCCCGGCGGUGGACUUGAGGCCCCGGAAAGGAGCAACAGCGGUAGCCGCCGCCGACAUCACUGUCGGACCCAUAGCAUCCACCCUUGUAUCACUAGAGUAUAUCUACUUAGCUAAUAUGCUAAGUUUGGCACGGAGAGAGGAGGUCGAGUGGACUUCAUUCCUGGUCACAAGGGUUUAUAUAUACCAUAUAACAUACGAGCAAUUUGUGAUUAAUUUGUUGUCGUUCUAGGAGAUGUGGAAAGGGUGGAUGCCGUUCGUUGGUUGCCUUAUCCGUUCUAGAGAAGGGAUGGAUGACCGACGCUCGCUCAGCCGUCUCCUUCGUCCAUCGUUGCCAAUCUUUCUAGCUAUAAUUGGAAGUUCCAAAGGAACAUACGGUUUCAUGCCUACUUCCAUCGGCCUAUCAUGUACCAAUCCAAUAAAAGGACAUCGUUCAACCAUCAAUCCAUGUGUGUGUAGUAAGUGAUUGGCUACGAACCUUCAGCUGACUUGCUUUAUUGGAUAUUUCUGUAAAGCGAGUCCACGGUGUGUGGGUUUAAAAUCUCGUGGCGGCAACUGUUGACGGGUGCAAAUAUCAGUAGCCUUAAAACAAUAAACUUUACUCCGUCCCUUCCGAAAUGCAAGAAUGUCCUAAGUCAAACUUCUUAUGCUGCAGGACCAUAGUUUUUGAGGUGUUCUUCUCACGAGUCCACGAAGAACGGGAAUUUUUUGGUGUCGGGUAAGGGCGGGGGAAUAUAUAGAUGCUAGCAUCAGCAUGACGGGCUAACGGGUCAGGUAGGAUUUUGGACGACGUAGCACCUGACAUGUGGGGGCCACAUGUAAGAAAACCUGUCAAAAUGUCAUAACCCUCUGUUUUGGUCAACUUGAUACAAUCUGAUACAAAACGUGUGGUUUUCCUGACAAAUUAGCAAAUUUUGUGUCUCUGUGAGAAGCACGCCCCAAAAACUGUGGUUCCGUGAAAUUUAUUCACUAGUUACACUUUAUCUACAAACAUCUACGAUUCUAAAAUAGUUUGGUAUAUAUUUUCCGUAAUAUAAUUAUUUGAUAUUCUAAAUUCGGGGAUUUGUUCUUAUAAACUUGGUCGAAGUUUAAAAAGUUUGACUUCGGACAAAGUUACGACUUUUUACAUUUAGGAAUGAAGGGAAUACAUUUUAGUAAAGCAAUUGAGGAAUUGACAGAAUUAAAUAUCUUAAAUUAUACUGGUCCAUCGUGUACUCAUGGCAACAAAAUAAAUUUAUAGUCGAAAAGUUGGACCAUGAAAACUUAAAACGUGAUACAUUAAAAUUGUUGAAUCACUCUACAUCUUGUAAUUUUCUCUUGCAACCUUCUGGCGCGCUACUCAUUCCACAUUUGGUACUAUAUGUAUAAAUGUAUAUAUAUACCGCAUUAGGAGCCUCUAUUACUGUUUUAGUAUAAAUAGCAGUUUCCAUCGACUAUGCACUUCAUUAACUUUUUCUUCACGAGAUAACUUGCUUAUCGAUUUUCUUUAAUUAUCCAGAUGGCUUCUACUAGUUUGUUUCCUUGCUUACUGGGAUUUCCGCAGACUUUACGGUUAGGUAUUAUUGUCGUGUGGACAACACGGUGGCCGGAUGUUGAGAUGAUGAUGUCCUUUAUCUCCGUGUUGCUUCUGAGGACUGCGGAUCCGAGGCUAGUGGCGGUAUGGGAUGCCUCUCUACCUCUUGAUCAGGUCAAUCCGGCUCAGCAAGAGGCGGAUCGAUGGUGGCCGGUGUGACUAGAAGCGGGGAGGUAUAUAUGAAACGUUUCUUGCUUCCAGCAUCUCUUCUAGCGGUAUAUAUGUCGUCAGCUGGUUGAGGGAUUGAUGGCAAUCGAUCAUGGCUACGAUGACAUGUAUACGCGCCGGUAGGAACACAUAUCAGGCAAUGUCGAUGCACCUGCAUUGGGCCCUUGCUGAAGGUGGUGGUGCGUAUGGCAGUCUAAAGAUUUAAGACACAAAUUUAGACUUAAAACUUAAAUAAUCAAUUUGUGCCAGCGGGAAACACACAAACACGUACCGGUAAAUUAUCAUAAUCAGAAUUUGUCGACGAAUUUGAUAUUCUUUUACAAAAUAUACUUAUCUUAAUAUGUAUAACCGGAGUUUAUAUUACAUGCCCCUCUCCCAACGAUAGUUGUAGUACUCUUAUAAUAGUAGUACUCAUGAAUACAGUUAAUCCGGGUUGUUGGGAGAGAUCACAUGCAUAAAUACAACAUGAAACAAACGUGUGAAAAAGGUACAUAAAAUCGGUGUGACCCGUUCUUGUAUUAUAAGAAAUCAACUUGCUUAGGCCUUGCCGGACUCCUCACAACCCGGUGGCUUGAAGGCGAUGAAGCUGAUGCACUGCACUUGCCUGGUGUUGUCGAAGCCGAUGAUGCGGACAUAGGCGUCAGGGUACUCCUUCUUCACCUCCUCCAGCUCCUUUAGCACCUGCGUGGCGUCGGUGCACCCGAACAUGGGAAGCUUCCACAUUGUCCAGUACCUGCCGUCGUAGUACCCGGGAGAGUUGCCGUGCUCACGGAAGACGAAACCGACCUUGCUGAACUCGAGGCAAGGAACCCACUUGGAGCGGAUGAGAUACUCGAUCUGCUUCAAGAGGGACUCCACGGUGAGAGGCGGCAGGUAGGAAAGGGUUUCGAACUUCUUGAUGCCCUCAAUUGGCCACACCUACAAUUAGAUUAAUAAUUAGCACCGAAAGUAUAAUUUGAGACACAUAUCAGUAUUUCACUUCAACAUAUGUACAUGAUGACAUACAUACCUGCAUGCACCUGAUCCUUCCACCGUUGGAGACGCUGCCGAGACCAGCGCUGGCUGAGCGGCGGCCGAUGGGGAGCCCGGCGGUGGACUUGAGGCCCUGGAAAGGAGCAACGGCAGUAGCCGCUGACGACAUCACUGUGGGAGCCAUCGUACACGUACGUAGAUAGCUAACAAGAGGAGGCAGGCUUGCUUGAGUGCUCUCUAGCUACAGCGGCUUAUAUAACUGUAGGCUCCCCACCCAUCCAAUAUCAGCACAAGAUCUAGGAGGGGUGGCUGCAGUUCGCCGCGCGGAUUUGCCCAGGCCACGCUGGCAUCCUACGGAUCAGGUCGGGCGCCACAUGGCCGCACGAAAUGGCGCGCGUUAUCCUCUGGACGGAUACAAUUGGCUGCAACGCACUCUGCAAAUCAUGCCAUGAAGUGACCAAUUUUCACCUAUCAGGAUAGAUCCAAUGUGCCACGGCAUGCACUCAAAAACAGAACUUGCUAAUCCCUCCAAUCCAUAAAAAAUCUCGCCCACUUAUUAGAAAAUUUGUAAUGAGUUAAUGCAAAAUGAGCAGCACUUUUUAUGAACUAGAGGAACAACAAAUUAAGAGAAACUCUUCUAAGAUCUUAUCGAGAACGAAGCUUGCCCCCGCGUCGCUCAGUCUGGGGCGACACGGGCGGCAACCACACCAGCCCCGGCAGCAGCCUCUCCCCGUCCUCUCCUCCCCCUCGCCGCCGCCGGGCAAAGCCCGCACGGGGACGGCGGCGGCGGGGCUGUUUUUCUUGGCGGGGGUGUCCUAGAGCUCUUGGCUGAGGCGUUUGAGGUGCUGCCUCAUCGUGGUCGCGGCGUCUCCGGCCCGAUCCGGCAGGCUAUGCCUCGUCUUCGGCUAGAUCCGGCCGGCUUCCUCCCGGAUCCGGUGUUUCCCCUCGUUCUUCCUCUCCCUGGUGCUCGGUCUGCUCGUGGCUGCGCGGCUUCACGGCGGCGCUCUUCGGCCGGAUCUAGCUACUCGUUGGCCAGAUCCGUCAUCUCCUCCGGCUGAUCCGGCAUGUCCCAGGUCUCUUCGUUUCCAUCAUUUUUCCUCUCAGUUUGGUGAGGCGGCUGAUUGAACUUCACCGGCGGCAGAUGGGCUGCUGCUGCGGCCAUACAUGGUCCAAGUCGGUCCUUUUCGAUGCCAUGGUGGCGUGGUUUUCAUUUUCGGUCGCGUCUUCGGCUGCUGCCCGUGUGCGAGGUAUGGACGUCGGCUCCGGUGUUUGGAGUGUUGCUCUGGAUGAAAACUGCCCGUGUGCGAGGUAUGCCGAAGACAACGAUGUUGUAGCGCCGUUUUCCUUCUUGGAGGUGUCGUCGAAGAGCUUCACUUUCCCUCACUUUGAUGUUUGGUGUCUUCGGGUGAAAACCUAAGAUUUGGCUAUGGCCAGAUCGGGCGACAACGGCGUUUUUACGUCGAUUUCCUCCUUGGGGGCGUUGUCAUGGAGACAACGACUCUUGGUGGCAUCGGGUGGUGUGGUCCGUCUAUGGUGGAGCUUGUUGUCUCGAGUUGUUGAAGGUUUGGUGGUGUCUCUUCUUGUGUCAUGUGUUAGCUUAGGCUGUCGGUUUGUGUCCGGCGAGAACGUGCGUUUCUUAUCCUUUGGUGCGGUUUCGGCAUGUGAUGCCUUUCGUCUUCACUAUCGUCACGUAGGUGUCGUGUUGUAUUCUCGGUGGUGUGUGGUCUUUCGGCUUAGCCAACGGCAAGUGGAGGUAUGAUCUCGGUUGUGUAUUGCCCUUCGACUUCAUCGGCGGCACAUCGGCGUCGCGGUGGGUCUCAGUGACGCGCAGCCCUUCGACUCUGCCGGCUACGUAGGUGUCAUGGUGCGGCCUUGACCCUGUGCUUCCCUUCAGCUACGGCGACGACAUAGUGUCUGGGUGGGCUCGUCAGAUCGACGCCUUUCGACUACAUCAACUAUGCUCUUCAUUGUGCAUUUAUUUUGCCAUUGACAUGUUUCAAGAGUCUAGGUUUUUUCCUUGUGUUUCUUUUAGCAAAUGCUGUUCUGCAGGCUGGCUUUUGCCCACCCGAUCAGAAAAGAAAAACAAAUUAAAGGCUAAAAUCAAGCGAUGUUAUAUUCCCUUAGCUAUUACAAAUAUGGAUGAUAAGAGUUAUUUAUCCUUUUUCAACGAGUAACCCUUUACUUGGAAGUUCCAUGUGCAUGGCGCUGCAAGAAAACAAACAUCAUAAUGGGGCAAGACUUUUUUUUUUAUAAACAUCCAAUUUGGGUUAAAGUCUGAAAGAAUUUGGCUAUCUGAACUUUCAGUUUCCACAUUCUUUUACCUACUCAAUUCUUCAGCCAACAGGAUCAAUGGCGACCUACUAACACCAACCAGAACACAUGGGUCACAAACACGAAAAAGGGCUAGAAGGCUACUUAUACACACUCAUGUGUACUGCGAGCAAAAGAACAUAAUGUACAAAACUUUACAAAAUCUAGGGAAUUAAGACCUUCCCGUAUGCUGUUGCUGCCGCUGCUGCUUCAUGCUGGCUCUCCUGGCAACAUCCCAUGGUUUGUGAGGCACACCUACACCUUGCUGGGAUGCGAAGAACGACUCGUAUCCCGGGGAGUCGAAAGCAAAACCAGUGUGCUUGGAGUUCUCUCGAGGGAGCAUGGAGAUCGCAUAGCUUCUUGCUUCUUCUGGGCUCAAAUGGCUCCUCUCAGGCAGAUGUAUCAUGCUGUAUUCGUGGGGGUCAUCCUUGUGCAUCUCCUGGAUUACUUGGUAGUCAUAGGGAAAGAGCCAUCUUUGGAGCCUGAGAAAGCACACAGCAUCAAAGACAACAAUUGAUUCAGCUACUUCAGUAUGUACAAUGGAAGGAAUAACAAACGGAUGGCAUUAACAAACAUAUAAUUUUGCAAAAGAGCUGGUAUCUUACGAUAGAUACAGGAAAUCACCAAAGAGAGCGAUGACUGGAGCAAGCAUUAGUGUGAGGUAGAAGAAAAAGGUACUCAUCAGAACAUAAAUCACAAAAUAUACAUUUUCCUGCACAAGGUACACAGCAUUAAGUCAAUGCAUUUGUAGCAAGUAAUCGUCAUCAGCAGUGUAAUAGCUACAUUAUUCACCCACCUGUCGGUCAAAUGAUGUCAUUAUCGCAGAAUAUAUGAAGAUAAACAGAAACCAGGCCGCUAUACUGCCAGCUACGCUGAAAUAAUGCCAUCUCGUGAUAGAAUUGCACGACAUGAGGAGACGUAGAUUAACAGUCACCACAACACAAGUAAAGGCCAUCGUGCUAACAUCCCAUUGACCAAGAAUCUUGCCAGAUGAACCGUGACCAUGCUGACUUGCAGCUGCAGUAAAGUAAUAGAACACUAUUGACUGGUAGAAGGCAAAGAAACCCCACACCGCAAUCACUUUCCACCGGAAGAAUGUGUUCCUAAUUCCUUCUUGGUAAAGUUGUGGGUAUUUUUUUGAUAGAGAUGCACUCACAUCCUGAAAGGGUUCAGUUUAGUGAAUGUAGCAAGGAGCGUCACUCCAGAACAAGAAAAGUAGAACAAAUACAAGCAACCAUACCUUAUCAAACAACCCAACCAUAAUUACAGGUAGUGCCGUGAAAAUGACAUUAUACAGAGACUGGAACCAGUCAUCAUAAAAUCGCUGACCAGAAAAGCCAGUUUGGAAAGUGAACCAGAACUGAGUUAGUGUAAAAGUCAGAUUCUUGUAGAAGAAGUAUGUGAUAACCUGAAACAGAAAGUGUCAAUGUUAAAAAAAUUAAACUACACAGAUUGGCAGCUACAAGCUAAGGGACCAAAGCAUACCUUGCACAAUCUCAAGUAUGACCACCGCCCAUGUACAAGAAGUAAAUCCGUAAGAUAUCGAAACUGAGCAAUGGCAAAAUCACUCGCCAUAACAGCUUGCAUUCCUUCUUGUCCGCUGAUGCCAAUACCAACAUGAGCAGCUUGAAUCAUACUCACAUCAUUAGCACCAUCACCAAUACUGAGAGUUAUCUUACGUGCACCUUUCCUAACUAAACUUGCAACCUACAAAUGUGUCAACAUUACAUGUUUUGGCAUCAUUCGAACCCAACAGGUUAUUAGGAAAUAAAUCCAAAAAUAAGAGACUUUGAGAUUGCUGAUGGGAUGGGUAACAACCAAAUAAGCACAUAUACAAUAAGUUAAUUAAUACUACCUUUGUUUCAAAAUAUUAUACCAAAACGUCUUAUAUUUUGAAACAGAGAUAGUACUUAUAGUACAAGAGUGUACAGGACAUUUAGUUAAGAGGCCAAAACUAGAAUAGCAAAAGCAACCAAUGCACAGUGGUUAAUAAUGAUCUUGUGAAUCAUGCACAAACUAUUUUGUUGUCAAGGUACAAAAUUGGAUCCUUUAAAAUGUAAUAAUAUCAAUAUCCCCCGUUUAUUGCCCAAGCAUCCUGAAAGGCAUGCAGCUGAGAGCUGCAGACCAUACUGCUAAUUAUUUCAUGGGAAAAGGCAAGGCAUGCAUGAUAAGAACGCUAAAAGCGAGAAUUGAUAUUUACCUGUGCCUUUUGCAGUGGAGAAACUCGACAACAUACAACUGAUUGGCAAAUUAAACUCAAACCAAGAAGAUUCACACGCAGAGCUGGGUCUAGAGCGUACAUCAAGCAUCGUCCAUCAAUAAUGAAAGCCAACUUUCGUCCUGGCGUGCUCCUCAAAGAACGGUGGGCUUCCUCAAGGUAACUUCUCAGACUCUGUUUUACCGAGUCUUUGAUAACACGUGCAAUUUCCACAGGGUCUCCCUGAAAAUGACUGGAACAUUAUUCAUGGCAAAGAUAUGUGCAUAAGUUGAUUUACAUCAAUCAGAUACAAAUGCUAAAUUGCUAAUUAUGGUUGAUCAAACUGCAAAACACACGAGAUAUCCAAAAGGCUAUAUAAACAUGAUGGAGAGGCUAAAGCACUGAAACAACAGAAUCAACAUAAAGUAUUUUGUACUAUUAUGCAACUAAGCCUUUUGUCCCAAGCAAGUUGGGGCAGGCUAGAUAUGAAACCCAAACAGAAACUAAAGCAAAGUGCAGGUAACAAAAGAGCAAGAGAGUAAAUCAAGGUUCAGGCACAUGGACUGCUGAUUUCCAUGCAGCCCUAUCAAAAGCAAAAUCUCUAGAUACAUUCCAGUCCUUCAAGUCCCUUUAACUGCCUCCUACCAAAAGCAAAUAUCAUAGUAAUCCACCAACCAAAGUAACAAGGGAACUACUUGUAACUUCUUAGUUCACAAGUACAUACCAGUUGAGCUAUCCAAUUAUUCUAAAUAAUAUGGUUUGAUACCUUUACCAAAGUCUCAACUUGUAUUCAUUUUAAAGCUUAUACAAGAUAUUAUAUGUUAUGGCUUAACAGUCUCCAUGACACAAUAUGGCUUGACUUCACAGUUUAAUUCUAUAGGAUUAUCUUACCCUGUCUUCAGCAUCUCUAAUUGCAUCUGUCUCAGAAGUGAUGAUGAAUUGUUUUGUAUCGUUAUUCACCAGGCUGCACGCUGCAGAGCAAAAACUAAAUAACUUCAGAAGCUUUUCUAUGUCAGGUGAAAGAGAGAGAAAAAGACCGCCCGCCCCCCACCAAUAAUCCAAAACUGAGCUUCUAUUAGACCCCUUAAGAACGAAACAAGCAUGCAAAUUGAUCUAUAUAUAAUUAAAACCUCACCAUAUGCUAUAUUAAUUGCUGUUUCCAUUUUAUCUCCAGUUAGCACCCAAAUUUUUAUGCCAGCUGCAGAAAGAGUUUCAAUGCAGGCUGGAACCCCUUCUUGCAGUUUGUCUUCUAUUGCAGUGCACCCUAUCAAUAUAAGGUCCUUUUCAAUCAACUCAGCCACCUACAGGGGAAGAAACAGAAGGAAAUUAUAUGGCAAUGUCCCAGCAAUAUCUUAAAUCAGAAUAUACAUUAAGUCUAUUACUUCAAAUUCCUUUUUCCUAGAAAUCACAGUGAACUUAGUACAUGAAAGAAUGAAAGGAUAAUGCUUUUCUAAUGGGGAUUUGAAAAAACAUCAUAAAAAUAAUAAUAUAAAGUACUGUAUGUUCUUGUUCUAGAUAAAUUACAAAUAUCUUUUGCUCAUGAUCCUCUUUCCUGACUAAAAAAUAUAUAUUAUUAUGUAAAAUACUAAUGUUCUAUGGCAGUACAAGAUAAUAAAUUAGCACAAAAAACUAUUAAACUGCAAAUGUCAGCUGUUAGGGAUGGAUGACAUGACUCCUGUAGUUUUGGGGGGAGAGAGAGAGGAGACACACUGAACAAAUUACUUCCUUCGUCUCCAAAGAUUGCCAUGCCACAUUCUAUUCGGUCAGUCAACCUUUUACAACUUCAAAAUUAACAAUUAUAAGUGAAUUGAAUUACUACAUGAAAAAUAACAGCACUCAAUUUGCUUGCAUAAUAAUUUGUACGCAAAACUUUUGCUUGUAUAUUAGCAUAGAAAUCAUAGCCAGAGUUUUAUGUUGGGAGAAUAUAAAAUUAAAAAAUGGCCUACAUUUGUCAGGUACAUUCAGUUAAUUGUUUCCAAAACCAAAUUAAUUUUCAUACAUAAAUACCAAACGGAUCAAUAGCAUGCUCAACAGUGCACAUGAGACUCGAGUUCAGUACUGGAUGACAGAAAGUAAAAAAAAUCAGGCAAGCACUAGAAGGUGGAGGGGAAGUAAUCGAAAUUCAAAUCACAGGGACUGUUCAGCCUGUAUACUCAACAGAAGAGGAUGGUACACAUACCUCAUCAAGCUUCUUAUCACGAUCUCGUAAAGAAGAUUUAGCUUGAACAAACUUCUCAUUCCAGCUUUCGUACUGCUCCCUGCUUAGAUCUCGAUAAGCAAGGCAAAGCGUGCGCAAGCCAGCAGAGCCAAAUUGUUCUAGAUGUUCUCUGCUUGUCUUUUUAAUGUCAUGAUUUCCAUCAGCUAACCGUUCAAAAAUGACAUUAUCAGCGCCCUGUUACACAACAUUUGUAUAAGGUUAGUGCAUCAAUCUACAAAGUGAUAGCUACAUAAAGAUUCUUUUUUCUUGUAUUACCUUGCAAUACAGAACAAGUUUUCCAUUUGGGAAACGGCAAACCACAGAUUGGCGCUUUCUUGUACUGUGAGUGCAGUAAAGUGUGAAGUGCAGAACAAUGAUUUCAUCUUGUCAAAUUUAAAUUGAAAACAGAUAAACCAGACCUGUUGAAUUCCAAAACAUUCAGAAUUUCAUAUGCAACAUCUUGUAUACUCCCCAUCCUCUCAACAUGUGAUUCCCGAACCAAGACUGUGGUUGGCGUACGUCUACAAGACAGGCACAAAAUGUCAACCACCGGCAUUGCCAUUCACAAUAAAAAUGCCACAUGAAAUAAUUUGCAACAAAAAUCAUAAGAACUUAGAUGAGUUCAUGUUCACAGCACUUGCUUUAACACUUGUCUUAAUUUACAACGGCAAUUUUUUGUUGAUGGGCUAAUAGUUUAUUUAUGCUUCUUAGUAUGUACAUUCAGUCCUUCAUACAACAAACUAUAUAAGCAAUAACCUGGGUGAGUGACUCUUUUAUGCACAUUUUCCUUGGGACCAUAGCAUAGUUUUUUAAGAUACCUUGUUUGCAACAAACUGAUAAGAGGAAUCUAUAACUGUAUUUAAAGGCAAGGUAAGACAUGCCUAUAAAAGAAGAAACCAAAAUUCUUCGCAGCAGCGACAAGCGCGGCCUCGUCGGGAGAGGCAGCUUGAUAAGUAAUCUUUUCCGGUGUCUCCUCACCCUCAGGAAGAACUGUAUGACAGAUUGCAAGGCAUCUGCAGAAUUGCUAUAGAGCAAAUAACAAAGUUGUUACACAACUAGCACAUUAACAAGGGAAAAUGUGAAAAAGGAAAAUAGGUUCCAAAUUUUAUUAGUAAGGGCAUAUAUCGUGAUAUGUGAAUAAUUUGUGUCAACUAAAUCAAAACUGAUUAUGACCAAAGGGGAACCAAUCGAACUAUUCCACAGGUAGUCCCGUAUUUACCACGCAAGCAUCAGGAUUAGGUUCAUUUCUCCAUGCACCACGCAUUAUUCUAGCAUCAUCAAAGUUGAAUCCUUUCUCAUGAACUGCAGUGGCUGAUCUUUUACCCUAAAAAAGGCAAGUAAACUGGAUAUUAAAUCAGUUGUGCAUUAAAUUUUUCAUCAUAUACCACCACACUUCAAUAGCGUAAACAACAAAGAAAAUGUUGUAGACCUCAUCAUCAUCAAUCUUGACUCCGGCUCGCUCGGCUCCUCCUUUUUCAAUCUCUGUGAUGCCAGUUCCAUAUAUUUCCCCUCCAAUCGAACAUUUAAAGAAUUCCAUCAAGUUUCUUGUAAGUGUUCCAGUUUUGUCAGAAAAUAUAUACUCAACCUGAACCAUUAGUGGGGCAAAAAAAAUUUGGCAGAAAUGUCAAAUUAUUUGCAAGUGUUAAGUGCAUUUUAGUACCACUCGGCAUUUGUUCAGUCAUAUAAGCAUUUCUGGGGAUCUAGAACAGUUUUUCGGUGGGAGUAAGUCACUUAAUAUUAGUGAAAUGAGACUGUUCCCCAAGUGCUUAUAAUUGAUCCCACUUUCUGGAAUGAGUCGGUGCAGUGAGGUCAUUCUAUCCAUUAACCAAACCCAGCCAUAUAGGUCAAAUAAGUAAAUAACCCCAUUUCAGCAACAAACAAAGGGGCUUUCAUCAAACUAAACAGAAUGCUAAGGAACAAAAAAAAAACUGAUAUUACCUGCCCAAGCUCCUCAUUCAGAUUAGAAGUCCGAGCCAAAGCUGGGGUGUUGCUCUCGGCAUGAUACAUAUUCAGAUCAUUGUUAAUAAACUUUGCACACUGAAUGAAUUUGAUCAUCUGCCAGCCAAAAUAAACAUAAGGUCCAAUCCAAAUACAGGGUACACUAAAUGAUAAAUUGGUCAAUAUACCUCAAUGGAUACAUAAAGAGAAAUGGGGAUGAUCGUUGAGUAUAGAGUUAUUAGAGUAAACAUAGUUAAAAUGGUCACCUGCAAAAGUACAAACCUAUGAUAUAAGGCCACUUAGAGAAUAUUCUCUACAAUAAAUUAACUAAAAUAAUAUAUACCACAAAUCUGUUCUUGGGAUUAAACUGGUCCUCGACACGCCCACGCAAUCCAAGAUAGAAGUAUUUCUCAUUAAUAAACACGCCACUGUUCACAAAAGCCAAGUAUGAUGAGUCCAUUGGUAGAGUUUUAGGUUUCUAAAGAACGUGCAAGCUAAGCAGUCAUAGUUACCAAAAUCUAUAUGCUGAACAGAGCACUUCCAUUUCUGACCAUCUAGAAAGUGCCCUAUUAUGUACCUCCCACAUAAAACCACUAAGAAAAAAGAUAAGGCUAUUAAGACCUAGUCAUGUGCUCAUCUAUACUGCUCCUAUGCCACAAUAAAAAAAUAACUUCCCCAAACAAGCUCCUGACAACUCAUGUCAUAAUGUUUAAAGUUUAUCUCUCUAUUAACAGUUGUUUUUUCAUGAUCAAUUAAAUUGUGAAAAAUGAUUGUGCAAGCAUAAGCCUCCACAACAUCAACCUAACCGAUAUAACUCAUGUUCAGAGAAUAUACAUGUAAACAAUAAUACAAGAUAGAUAAGUCAAAUAAAUGAAGUGGGCCAAAUAAAACACUGACCUUCCAAUAGCACCAAUGACACACAUCGUAAAGAGGGUUGCAAAUAGAGCAAGAAUAAGCUUGUCUAGUUUCUUCUCCAAUGUACUUCUUUUAGAGGGAACAUUCAUAGAAUUCAUCAUAACCUGCAAUAGUGUCCCACUGCAGUAAAUCUCAAAACUAGAAGCACAUCUAACCUACAAGUUGAAUAUAUAGGGACACAAAAUUGCACAUACUUUCGUCUCAUGGCCCGUGAAUAUAACAGCCGCGACAAUGUACUCUGUAUUACGAAGGCUGCAUCCCUGUGGCAAAGUGGUAAUAAGAGGUUGCAUGUGUGCCACAUAAAGAGAGAGAAUUAAGUGUCAUGCAAGACACCGUUCAGUCUGGUGAAAGUAAACAUUUCUUUUGCACUUUACAAACAUUGCUUCAACCCUUCACCACUUAUCCUACAUAUGGGACUAGAGAAGAAAUGGAAGUUGUUUAUAUGAAUGUUAAACAUUUCCAAAUUGUUUAUAUCAUAGCUAUCCUUGUUUGCAAACCAAUAAGAACAAUAUUAUUAUAGAGGUGUUUUAUGAUGAAAAUUUCUGCUGGUGACAUUUGGGUGUCGUCAAUAUUGGUAUUUGGAGGAGAUGUUGGUGAUCAAAGUUAAAGGCCGAGUAAAGGCAUCACGCUAUGAUGUUAUUUUUUACCUGAGGGAUUUUCUUAACAAACUCAUGCUAAAUCUAGAACAUGCAAACAACUUUGCAGGUGGACAAUCUUGUAAAGAAAUUUCAAGGGCAUGUUUGUGUGAGGGGUAUUACUUUGGUACGUGUUGGUAACUACAUACCUAAUUGUUACAAGAAAAAUCUCAUCCAAACAAGCCCUAAGGACAUUAUGGACCUUGCUACUGCAAAGUUGGUAAGUCGAAAAUACGACAGGAUGUCUGAUUGAUAUGUAGGACCUGGACCCACAUGUCAUUCUCACAGCGAGUCGCACUAUUUCAAAUGUCAACUUUGUGGUGGCAUGGUUUCAAUUUUCCCAAUAAGAAACUAGAUACAAAUAGCAUAGAUGAACAGCACUUACCCUUAGUAGUAUUUGAUUUGGUGAAAUUGGUAUAGUUUGCUUGUCCACAAUAAGGUUCCCGGUAAAUGUAUAAAGUGAAUUGUUUGGCUGUUCGCAUUGUAUUUCACCUGUAAGCCAUGAAACAUACAGAUAAUGUGAAGUUAAGAAAAUGUAGAAUAGUUAAGUGAAGUUCAGAAAAGGAGCAAUGCUUCCUACACCAACUACCGAAAAAUGUCUGCAACAUGGAACAAGAAUAGAUAAAAACCUUUGAAUUCAGAAGCCUUUUCAGGAAUUACGCAGUCCCAGGUUUUCUCCAAAGCCUUCCUUAUUUUCAGGUUAGUUUCCCCAUCAAGAUUUGCUGUCUAAGGUAAAUAGAAGUAUGAUACACUUCAAUUAAAACAGAGUUUCUCUAAAUCAUUCAAUAAUUUCAAUUUGGACAAAAGAUGGAGAAGGUAAGAAUGAAUAUAUUGACCUCUAUGUAGCAGACACCAUCAGGGUUCGUACUUGAUAGGAAGAGCAAGUCAGAAGGAAAGUAAGUGUCUUGCUUGAUCUGCUCUAAAGAAGUGCCAUCACUAUUAGUCUUUUUGGAUAUGUGUAUCGAGCUGAAGAUUAAAUUUGCACAGCACAAAAGAUCAAGUGCAUUAAUUUGUGGAAGCAACAGAUCAAUUGAAUUGAUCAUCAAAUUGCUAUCAGGAAAGAUGAAGACAUUACCCUCACAAUAUCUCCAACCUGCAGUCUUUUCCAAGGGGCACUUUCCCAUUUUUGACCUUGCAAUACAUCGACGUGCGCAUUAUUAAUUGACAUGUCAUUCUGGAAACGUUUCUGUAUAAUGGGAGGCAAACAAAAAGGGAAGAAUAUCAGAUAACAUUAAGAAUAGCAAUAAAAUAGUGGAGCAACAGAGCAUGAGAGCAAUACUAACCCAGUCCUCAAAAGCUUCCUUGAUGAGUGAAACCAAAAGCACUAAACUAAGUGGAACCACAUUGGUGACAGGGUGGACUGGACUGCGAAGAUACAAGCAUGUAUGAACUAAGAUUUCUAGAAGUAAAGGUGAAGGAAAGCAAAGGAUGACUGAAUCAACUGAUGGACUUGAUAUGCUAAGAAGUGUCUAGCUGUAACAUGAGAAUUCCAUAGGGUGCAUGCAUGAGAGAGAGAGAGAGACCUAAUUGGUGUAGUCGACAAGAUUGAAAUCAUAAGAAAGUAAAGAUUUGCCACCCGUCUGAACUGUCAAAGCAAAAAAAAAAACAAAUGAAUUACAAAAGGUUCCUAUGGUCAAAUUGCGAUAAUACAGAAAGGGAACAUCUAAAUCGGUGUUACAGCUACCAUUGCAAAGUUUCUUUAUUCGAUAUGGAAAAAUGCAUUACAUGUUUAAUGUAUGAAGCCAUUGAAAUACUUUAAUGUACCUUACGUAAAAAACAGUGGAUAAUGAAAUUGCCAGAAUUAUGGUAUCGCAUAAAAUGAAGGUUACAUUGAGCGAAAAGCAUGAUCAGGGCUUUACCAAAUAACAAAAUCAUACUUCUCCUUUUCUCAAUAUAUGGCAUUUUAGGUUUCAUUGAAGACAAGUCUUUGAAAAGGAUUUACUUUGUGUUGUUUUUAAGGCAUGAAAUUUAUAUCACUAGAUUCAUCCUCAAAAGUACUUAAUGUGGAUUCAUAUCAUAUAAAUCACAUAUUAAUGAAGUAAUUCUUGGUCAAAGUCUUGUAUUAACGAAACCUAAUAUGUCCUGUAUUGACAAAAUGAGGGAGUAUAUUAUCUAACAGUGCAUGUAUACAGGCACGAUACUGGUAGCGCGUAUUACAAGCAAGGUAUCUUAAAAACAUUGCAACACAGUGCCAGACCAGGUAAGCAACUAAGCAUCUCAUGUAUCCACUAUUUUAAGGGAAGUUGAUCCAGAGUGAGGAAAUAAACAUUUUUAAGGAGAUAUAUCAAUUUGCAAUGUGAAAAUGAUACGGAGUAGUAUAAUCAUUUCACUGUGAUAACAAAUACUCCCUCCGUUCUAAAUACUUGUCGCUGUUUUAGUGCAAACUAAAACAGCGACAAGUAUUUAGGAACAGAGGGAGUAACUUCCAUUUACCGUUAGACAUGAUACAAAAUAAUAUGUUGAAAAAAAAUCUAGCCAAAAACUAAAAAACAAACAGAAAAUCUGCAUUAAACGAUGACAAACCCAGCAGGUAUGUUGAUUAACAAAAUAUGUAUGAACAAAAAACAACGCAUCAAUACCUGUUCAAACAAUCCUUUAGGUAGAAAUGUCAGCACACUGUACUUUGUAGUCGACACAGAAUUUCCCUGGAAAUGUAGAAUGAGAAUGUUAAAGAACUAAUUCUAGCAGAAAAACAAAGUAGCGCUCUGCAUUAGAAUCGCGAUGGUCUGAUACCCAACAUGAGGGAGAUUCUGAAACUAAACAGAAGAGCUAAUUGCAACUAGAAGCAUGAAAAAAGUAUAGCUUGAUCUUUUUACAACAUCAAGUCUGAAUACAUUCAAGCAUUUACACUAACUUGGAACAAAAUGUGGGUGUCAAAGAAAAUGCAUGAAUACACCUACUUACAAUAAAGCACCAAUUUUGCAGUGAUUGGACAAACUAUGGUUAAAAUACUUAAUAAUAGAGUUCUACGUAUUUGGAGGCAUAAAACGCAUUGCAGUUGGAGCAGUGGCAUUAUCAUGUUAGUCAGUCUAACAUGGCAGUGAAUGACGUGAAUUUUUUGCUAGUUUAGACCUCUGGCCAGCGCAAUUGACAAAAAUGCCCCCCUCUCAAAACUAAUGCCAAAAAUGGUCUGGCAGAAGGCCCGAAAGGCGCCACAUUUCAUUUUUCGCCAUCUGAGCUGCGCAUGCAAACAUUCCGACAACCUGAAAGGCGGAAAGGCCGUUCCGCCUACUGCAUUUGAUGAAUGCACCUGACAAGGGCGGAAGGUGAACUGGGCCCUGCAGAUGGAAGCAAUUUCCACAUUUGUUACAGACCUGGAAUCUUUUUUUUUGUUGGAGUCGACGGACCAUGUAUGUGCGGAUGCAUAGGAAUCGGCAAGCAGCCUAGCUGCUAGUUCACGGGCACGUUUUACAUUUUCUUUCCUCAGGUUUGGCUAGUGCUACCACGUUGAUACUAAUCAACGCUUCUUGUGAAUGGGCUUAGUUGCUUCUACUAGUCGUGCGAGCGUUAAUCUUUUCUCUGUGCGCCUGCAUGUGCGGGCGUGGGAAUCGGGUCAGGUCCCUGCAGACAGCACGCCUGGCUGCACUGGGCCUGCUUCAGCUUCCGCCCCUGAAAAUUCACUUUCGUCCAUUUCAACUGGAAACAAGUAGGCUCCACCUGUCCUGUUGGCGGAAAGUUCAUUCCUCCUACCCAGUGGCCACUGGGUCAGUUGCUGGGCUUUCCACCACGUCAUUUUUCAAAUUAUAUUUCAGAUGGAGCUAUUUUUGCCAAUUCCGUUUGACAAGGGGCUACAAGAGCAAAGAAAUUGAAUGACAUAGCAAGCAAUCAAUUUCCCCUUAUAGGUAAAUAAUAAACAGCUUUGCUUCAGCUUACUGUCAUCAGCUGGUGGCUGACUGCCCUGACCAAACACAAGUUCAGUAAUCUACACAGCAAGCGGCACACAGGUGCAGCUAAGCACAUGGAUGAACAGAAUAUUCCAGCCAUUGAGGCUCAGCUCUCGAAGCUUAAUGCCAGGUGGCAUCUACAUUGUAUUGCAGCCCGUAGCACCCUGAUUGACUAGUAACCCAACAAUGAGACAAGCUCUAAUCCACCCAAUGACCUCACAGUUGGCAAGAAAUGCAGCCCUUAGUGACACGCACCACCCUACAUAACUUUCUCGUGGACUAAUCAGUAUGAAUCAUAUAAACCCUCUGCAAGCUGCAGUGAAAUAAAACUACUACUACUGAACUAGCUAUUGUCCCAGAUGGCCAUCUCCAACCCAACCGCCCAAGCAUGAAACAAGGGGCCAGUUACGAGAUCUAGGCCUACAGACCCCUAGACCUUGAGACAACCGACCUGUUGAUCAUCCGAAUUAGAGGAGGAGGUGCACACCCGUACCUUGUACCCGACCGGCGCGUUGGCUUCGCGGUCGUUGCAGUAGAUGGUGCGCACGGUGGGUGCCUGCGGCUGCGGCUGCCGUCGGAGGCUGCCGCCCCCGCCGCCGAGACGCGCCGUCCUGGACGCCUCAGCGCGGCCGGCCUGAGAGGUCCCCCCCCGCGGCGACUGCUCGCCGCCCAGCCGCGCGGUGGCAACCCGCAUCAUCUCCUUUAUGCGCGAGCUCAUCCUGCCCCCCUCAGCGCCAAACCCAGCGCUGGAGGAGCCGGCGGGAGAUCUGGGGAAACCUCACGGUGGAUCGGAGGGGAGACCUAGUCGGAUUUGCGCGGCUUUCUGGUGGAUUUCAGUGCCUCGCUGAGGAGGGGAUUCGAUUUGGGUCACGCGUUCCCGUAUGUGCGUAUUUUUUCCGUGUAAUUUUUUUGUUUUGCCUUUUUCUUUUCCUUUGGCUCCGGGAGAAGAGAAGACAGGAGGGGAAGGAAAAGCGAAGGUCGCGACUUCGCGAGGAAGAAAAUGAAGGGAUUACUGCAGAUCACACCCUUGAUUAUUUUCGAAUAUGGAAAGCUCCAGUAACUGAAGUUUGAAAUUCCAGCCGCGUUUGUCUUUUCCUUCUUCGAGCAAACAACCGUGUUCUUGACUUGUUCUAUGUUUUUGCUGUCCGGAGGACUACCCGAUUUGCAAGUAAAUAAUGGCAUUAAUUUCAUAUAAGCACUUUAGGACACCACACUUGACAUGGUUUUCUACUGACGACGACUAUAUGGUGGCUUUGAUGUUCCAUGAAUAGAUCUUUUUAGCGGUGUUUCAAGUUCAGGUGUUAUAACAAAGCAUUACUCUUGACCUAUCUUCCCUUGCGACCAUGCUUUUUGAAUCGCCAAGUCGAGUCGAAUCGCCCCCCAACAGACUUGGAGGUUAGUAUGAUUAGUCAGAAACUAGUCUCGACUAAUCAACCCAAGUCGAGCCUAGUGAUCAGUGAGGUUUAGGGAGCUCUAGCAGGGAGCAUUAGAGGAAAGGAGUGAAUUGCAGUAGAGGGGAAGCACGAGGGAACAGUUUUUGUGGUGCUGGAGCUUGAAGAAGAGGUUCAUGGCGGCUAGGAUCUAGGAGUCGAUAAACUUAGAACGCCCGUGUUGAGGCAAACGCGUUGAGGAAGACGACUUCAAAGGUGGUUGGCUCAUUAUCAGGAUAGGUGCGUGCCUGGCAGCCCAUAAAGGCCUAUUAGAAAACCCUAACUCCCCCCUCCCCCCCCCCCCCACACACACAUUGCCUUCUUCUACACCACACACGCACCAAUGGCGGCCAUCUUCUUCCCCUUCCCUGCUGCUCCCCAUGCCUUCUCUCCCUCCCCGAAAAGAAAUAUCUUCCGAAAAUUCUUCUCUUCGAGUCAAGUUGAGGGGCUCGCGGCGUUCCUAGUCACGGCGGCUAGUCGGAGAAGUCGCGGUUCUAGCUGACGAGUCGCGCGACUUGCUCUGCUAGUCGAGUCGCGGCUGCAAGCCGCCAUCAUUGUGCUGGCUCGGCGACUAGUUGGCGAUUCAAAAACCAUGCUUGCGUCUUAUAAUUUUGUUUCCUCUUAGAUUUUUUUCAAUUAUGUAUGGAACUCUUUUAAGCUUGGCUAACAUAUUGGGUCAAUUUGUCUCCCAUUGAAAAAAAAACAAUUUCCUAUAAAAAAUAAAGUAUCCACAAAACAAUAUGCAUAGCGCAGUUGUUUUCAAAGUUGUGGAUGAAACUUUGUGUUGUACAGGCAACCACUUAAUAACUUGUUCGGUUGUAGAAUUCCCCGCAUGUAUUGAAGAGGAUUAAGAGAGAUCUAAGGAAAAUUGAUCUGCAAUUCGAUCAUUCCCUCUUAAUCCCCAUCGGAGUGGAAUCAACCGAACGGGGCUAAUGUGGACCAUAUCACCUUGAGGACUCCAUUCUUCUUUUAUGGCAACGUUGCAUGGACCUUGAUAUGAACGCACGUGCCUGCAAUCUCUAUUAUUUUUUCGUAAAUAGCAACUGUCCUUUCUGUAUCUUGUAAUAUGUUUUCUACAAUUUUAUUUGGGAUAUUUCGUCAAGAACCCAAAUCGAUUACAUUUUCCACUUUGGCGAAUGAGUCAAGAUUCUCCAUGUGUUCCAGCGAGGCAACUGCGAGCUACACAUGUAUGGUGAAACAAGCCUCGCAACUUCGUAAGUAACUCCAAAACUACAUCAGCACGUCUCUUGAACUUUGGAAACACACAGACGUGUUCCACGACCGUGAGGCGACGGAGUUAACGGGGCAGCGUUGCCGGAAAGACAAGAGUACCGUAACAAGGCCCAGACUGGGCUGCAUCGGCGUUCUGCCUCUAUUACAAGCGAGAGAUGUUGAACCGGCCAAGGUUAGGCAAGGCAGUCAGCGGGAGGAUUUUUUUUUUUUUGUUGUUGGUUUUGAAGAGGCGCGGGAGGAGAAGAACUUGCUUGACCAGCCCACAAGAUCGUGAACCGGUAUGACAUUGACAUUUUAUUUAGGGCCAGUAACGUGUAAUUAGAAGUACUAGCUUACAUCUCUUCCUUUUUGAACCGUCAGAUCUGCAACCAUAUCAUCUCUCCCCUUUGUCCUCUUCGCUAUGCCGAUUUUAGUGAAACGCCGCUGCCAAAUCUUCACAGGAUUGUGAACCGGCAGCAGCUUCGACCCUUCAAUAUUAUUAUUACAGCUAAAUAAAAGACUGAAAUUAUAGGUGAGGUCCUUUGUUCUAAUCGCCCAAGCGAGCAGAAGCCAAGAGAUUACGUGCAAGCAUAGCAUGGCCAUGUUCGCCAACUCAUGACAUAGUGGCACAGGGACUAACCACCUGGAUUACAUGGCUAGCUUCCAUAUAUGUGCAACAAAAUAUUGGUACCAGGCAGCCAUCUGUGCCACCAACCAUAAACUCCCUGAUCCCAAAAAAUACAAAAUACCAAGAGUUUCCACCCACAUCAGUACAAGUGCACAACAGUUUAAGAGACAAGCCAAGGAUCAUUCCCAGUUUGUGGGAAUAAAUAAGAGUCCGCAGCAAACAGAAAACUCAAAAUCGCUGGCAAAGUUAGGAUGUGGAAAAAAGAAAGGCUUAAAAUGAUCUAGCCAUGGCGUCAGAAUCUAUUAUCAAUGUUUCUCUCUCAAGGAUUUCCCUUCUAUAUAAAGUAUAAUAUUACAAAGGGGCUGCUUAAAUAUCAUGGACUCCUGGAAUGUAAAGAGGGUAAUAAUCAACACUACAUGAGCCUCCUUUUUCCUGAGGCUGCUUCCUAAGACUGACUGACUGCUUCCCCGAGGAUCCACAUACACCCUCCCCUCUCCUCAAGUUCCACCUCCCACCAUGGAAGUUAAACCCCCACCAUGGAUCCGAUGCUAACCAACUGUACGCGACCUGGAGAAAGUCAGUCAGCUUGGUGGUUCAAUCAAGACAGAGCAUCACGAUAUUGCCCAAAUGGUAUAAUUGGCAGGAUCAAUAAGUAGUUUAUGCUCGCAGCAAGAUCCAAAAGAACCAAUCUACCAUGACUAAUGUAUGACAAGAAUGAUGUCUUAUGUCUACUUUCAGAUACACUAUGGUCCAGGUGAAACAAUAUUUUAAAGUUUAGUAAUUACUGGCAGUAGUAGACAGACCACAGAAGUGUAAAGAUAUUUGCACACAUGACCUUUUAAUCCAAGGCUAACCCAACCUUGUAAGCUACGUGCUGUUUGUGCUAACGCUGCUGCUUGAAUGCAAUUAGACAGUGGUGAUGUCCUUGUUAGUCUGUUACAUACCUAAGGCAUCACCUCCUGAUUCUAGGUUUGCACCGGAACUCUGCUAAGAGCGCUAUGUGAUCUGAUGACCAUUCAGGUGAAGGAAGAGCAGUGUCUUUUCUUAAGCUCUCCUCAUCCAGAAGUUCCAACAAAGACUCCACGGUCAACGAAUCCGCUGAAACAAUAAAGGAAACAUGAUCAACUGACCAUAAUCAAACAUAUCACAAUACUACAAGCUGAUUCUGAAGCAAUUCCCAGAAGUCUAAAUACAGCAUACAGGUCAGGUACCUACCUGUGUAAAAUAUAUAAUCAACAGUUCCAGUGAAAUCCCUUGUGCAAUUUGUGAAAAGUGGUUCAUUUGUUCCUGGAUCCAUCCUCCUUCGCUGGUGCUCUAAAUCAUAGCCAACACCUACCAUUCUUGCAAAUGAAGAAUAUGCACUGACCUGCAAACAAGUAAACAUUGGUCAGAAUUUUAAAGGAAGAACAAGAUAGACAAGCUUGAUAGUUUUACUGUACCAGAGGAAGCUGGUGCGUCAACUUGCUCACGGGGCGUAAAAUUGAAAGUGGGUCUAUGGCCAGAUCUGGAUGCAAUUGAUCAACUUUGCCCACCGCAAGAAGCCCAUGUGGAGUACUGAAAGACAAAAGGAAGCACUUAGAGAUUUAAAGUUAGAAAAAACAAGUAAACCUGAAAAAUAUUGCUCCAAUAGAAUCUUGACAUGCACCUCCCCGGGAUUGAAUUGAAAUCCCCACAGACCAACAUUGGAAUGUCUGCACUGUUGGCUAUUUUCUCCAAUCCUUUUAGUAGUGUUUGAACCUGCAAAAAACAUACUUACUUUCGAUCUGAAUUUUUCAGAUGUUGCAGAAUGCUAGCCUACAGAGAAUGUGACAAUACUGACCUCCCAUAGUUUCACAUCUUUGAGGUCUUGGUGGACAUUUACAUGUGUAUUGGCCUGAAAUUUGAGAUCAUUUAAAAGAAUGAGACCUCCAUGACUCCAAGUAGCAUAAGCCUAGGCCGUAUGAACAAUGGGAAAUCUGUAGUAAAGUUGGCCUCAAAAUCUAGAGUCUAGAGAGCCAAGUCCCAAUCAUCCGCCAUUAACAUAUAGAUGUUUCCGUGCAUCUUAUGCUACUAAGGUCAUCCUACACAGAUAUAUGUUUCACUUCAUUCCUAAAUGUUGUGAGCAAAGAAGGAAAAGAAUCCAUAUGUUGUUCUGCACUAUGCUGCUAGCAGUUCAAUAGCUAAACAUACGGGAAAGUCCACUUUUGGCCCCUUAACUAUUGCCUCAGAUCAAAAUCAUCUAAUUUGCACCCUCAACUAUCAAAAGCAUCCAAGUUACAUCUGAAGGCAAUAUUUGUUAGAGGCUUUGUGUGAUGUGGCAUCCAUGUCAACGUGUUUUGCCACAUCAAUCGCUGCUGGGCAGUAGGGCCCACAUAUCAUGGCUGCCGUGCCCCUUCUUUCUUUAUAAUUCUUCCUCCUUAGCCAUGCCAUGGCCUCCUCUGUAGGCUAUAGCUUCCACUGCUGCUGCUACAGAUAACCCAUGUUUGACGUUGCAUAACAUCUUCUGAUUUAGAGAGGGGUAUCCUGACAGACAUGUACCAGUCUCCGCAAACCGCUGCACGGCUGCAUCCUGAGGGGAAUGGACAAAGAGAGGAUUAGAGAGGAAGGCUGAGGAGGGAGGCGUUUAGGGCGACUCCAACACGGCCACCCAAAUCGGACACAAAAAGUGUGUCCGUUUGGGUCUGCUGGUGCCCCUAACACGGUCACCCAUUUGGUCCGUUUUAUUAUUUAGUAUUGGCCACGGAUAGGCGGGCCAGGGCAAGGACAAGGGAGGACAAGCGCAGUGUCCACCCGCUGUCCGCCCAGACACAAACCCGGUCAGAUUUGGGUCGGCAAUGGGUUGAGCUGGACAGAAAAGCAGACAGCCGCCACACCGGACGAAAUGGGUCGCCGCGUUGGAGUCACCCUUAAUGCUAAGCUGGGAAAGAGGAAGGGAACAGAAAUAAGAGGAUGAGGACAAGGGAGGGAGAAAAGGGUGCUUCCAAAAAAUCAAUCCCAGGCAUGUGGGGCCUACUGCCCAGUGGAGAAUGAGAUGUCAAAGUUGCUGAUUUGGCGGCUACAUACAGAAUAUCACUCAUGAAACCAGCUUCUGGUCCUAUCGAACGGUUUCAUGAGUUGAUGGUUCAAUUUAGACCAGGCAAAAGUUGAGGGAUCAUAAUUAGGCUUUUCCAAACAUAAAUGAAUGUCAUGCUGUAAAAGUAGUGUUCGUCAUCCAGUAAACUGGUUCGAAUAUCCAACAAGCGCACAACUACUUUAUACACAUCUAAAGAAAGAACAGCUAUUUACAUACCACACAAAGGAGCUGCCUUUUACCAGGAGUUUCAGUUCCUUGGUUGCCAAAUUUUGCUUCUAAAACCGCAAUCAGCGCAAUAUUAUCCUUCAAAGCAAAUAGAACGUGUGAUAAAUAACAUCACUUUUUUUUGCGAAAAGUGAUAAAUAACAUCACUGUAGCAUACAUUAUUUCUUUUGAAGUUAAUCUUACUUUAAUCAGUCGACUUAAAGCCACUCUUUUCUGGGAAGCUGGAAUAAUAGCUUCUGUUAAAGACUGUGCAGCCUUAUUGAACUCAACCUACACAAGCAAGUACAAGUAUUAGAUAGCUGCAAAUAUCAAGCUGCUGCAAACCUGCAGUACAGGUACCUCGUAUUUUUUGACAUGUGAAAAUCUAUCUCUACGGAAGAAAGUAGCACAGCCAUCAAUGGCAUUAGGAACUCCAGCAUACACCUGUGACAACAGUAAAGUAAAAUCAAACAAGAGACAAAAGGUAUUAAACCAAAAUAUGAAGGAAAAAAUCAACCCAAAGAUACCUCUGUUGUCCGUUUCUUGUAAAGCGCCUGAUACCCAUGUUUAUCAAACUCAGGAGCAAAAAAAUCCUCAAAGUGGUUCAAUUGUACCUGAAAACAGUAGGACUUGGCUUAAUUCCCUCCUGUUACAAUCUUCGGUCACUCUUCGUUUUUAUUGUAAGCCGCUUCAGUAAACUCUUCAUAAUAUAUAUGCAGACAAUAUUCGUGAAAGUUUAAACAGCAAGCAAACUAUCAUAAAUUCAUAAUCCAACAUCACUGAAAAGUGAAAACAAUCAAACAAAGUGAUGGCACAAAUAUGGAAACGAACAGCCCAGCAGUAUAUGAAAGAUUGUAGGUUGAUGAACAGGGUUCCGGCAUUAAAGUUUACCGAGUCGCAAAAAUUAUAUGAUCAACCAAAUGAGACAUGCUCGGUUCCUAAAACAAAUAUAUGAGAUGAAAAGCUGAAAAUAGGUCACCAAAAUAAAUAAAUUCAGAAGAUAGCAAACAUAUGAUACCUCCUGAAGACAUAUAAUAUCAGCAUGAUAACCAAUAAUUUCGCGCAUCAAAUUUUGUCUUCUGUAAGUCCAUGAAAGUGCCCACGUUGGGCAGUAGCUAUAUGCAUCAGAUGUAGCAUAUGCAUCAGCAAGAAUAUUAUAGGACAGCACCGUGAAUGUCCCAAAAGAAGAAGUCUGGCUGUCUAUAUCUGAGUGACCCAAAACAUCUCCAUUCACUUGGAUAAGGCGGCGUGGAGUAGGAGUUGGUGCUGGAAUCACACGUGAUGUCAUAAUUGAAGUUGGAGACCCCGCAGGUACUUUCUUUUCCGUAUCCACCGCUGCACAUUCAAAUCUUAGAACAUGCCCAAUAUCAUCAGCAGUUGGUGUAUACGUCUGCGAGCGUCCCACUUCAAACCAUGUUUCACCCGAGUUCUUAUCAGUGCCUGAGGGAUACAAGGGAACAGGUCCAUUAUUAACUCCAGGGCUCUGUCCAAGAUUUGACAUUGAGCCAGACCCAGAACUUAGAAUCCCAGAACUACCGCUGCCAAAUCUACCAAAUAGCUCCUCCUCUUCAGCUCCAUUUUCAUUUAAAGCACUACUAGCUCGCUCAUGCAAAACCCUGUGGUGCUGCCAUGCAUCAGAGAAGCACUUAGCAGAACAAUGGUAGCUCUUAGCAGCAGGUAUUUUUGACUUGAGACAACCUAAGCACUGAAUUGUUGCUUGCUCCAUCGGAUGUACACUGCAGAUAGUAACUUUUCGAUCACUCUGUAUGCGAUACCUUCGAGCGAAAAGUCAAAUCAGUAUAACCAUGUGCUACUAGAUACAGAAAAAGUUUAGAAGAACAUGAUUGAAUAUAGUAACUACAAGAAAGGACACCUAAAUUGCCAAUGUUUUAGCAUGUAUGAGAUCCAGGAAAACUUGCUAUCAGCAUCUUGGAAGUCCAUUAUUCAGAGACAUUAGACUCACAACACUUCCAUUAUAAGCAUAGUAUGAAUAAGGCAAAAUGAAGCAGGUUGCCAAGAUGUCGCAAAAAAAAAGAAGCAAAUUACAAGUUUGCUUGUCAUGAGUUGCUGCUGCUGUUGUUUUUUCUUGAUUUUAGUCCCUCAACCGGCUAACUCGUGAUCAUUCAUCUCUUGCUUUCUUUACCAGAUCAACCAUGCAACUGAUUUCUUUAGCGGACCAGGCAAUAUAUGUAAUAAGCAAAAUUCUACAGUUUAGAUCAGAGAUUCAGAGGACUAUUGCAGGCUCUCAUAUAUCAUCAUUAGGGCAUGACGACCAGACAAGGAAGUUGCUGUGUAUAUUAUUAUUCCUAGAAGAAAAACAUUUAAGUACUGUUCAAGGAGGCGACCAACUAUAGCCCAGUGCCCACCCCAUCAAUCGAUUAGUGUCUUUCAGAACACUUCAUUUCAACAAUGUGUCUAUAAAUGGCCACACUUACUAUACUCAAACCUCAAACCUUAAAAGUGAAUAAAGAUGCACAUAUCACAUGAGAUUCUAUCAAGCUAAUGACUGAAAAGCAACACAAUGAAAAUAUAAAAAACUAUAGAAUUGAAGGACCAAAACCAAUGAAACUGCAUGAGUGUUAGUGGGACCAAGCACCACCAUUUCGAAAAGUUCUAAGGUCUAAAGUCUCAGCAAUAAAUGCUAUUUAAACCUACAUGACAUUAAAAAAACGGAUGUGAUAAAACAAAUAAAUAUUCACGAACAUGAUCAAUCAUUCAGAGCGGGAUUCUAAAAUUGAUCACUGAAAUUGUUCGGCCACCCAGCUAUUAGUGAUUAUACAGCCGAGCUAGCUCAUUGCAGUGGGUGGCAUAACCAGCGGUUACAAGUUCUUUUCUCUCAUAUUUGCCUCUCCAUUUUUCAUUUUUUUAUUUCCAAAUAGAUCUACAAUGUUAUUUGAAUUUUAAAAAUAAUAGGUAGGGCACUCCUUACAUACAUGACCUCCUAGGCCAUUUAAAACAAAUAUGCAUUGUUUGGGGUUUUUUAUAUAACAUAAAGUAAGUUAACUAUGACACACUGCCAAAAUAUUUUUGCAUAAAAAACAUUAAAUUUGAUAUAGCACAGAAAGAACGUGGAUAUCCAGCAAGAGAUUAAAGAAGGCAAAGUGGGGCAGGCAGUCAGCAAAACAAAACUAGUGGAUCACGAGUUUCAAACUUUUACUAGCUUUAAGCAACUGAAAUAACUUGCCACUGAACCUAGUGAGCCAACAACUCUAACGUGUAAUAGCAAACAAGUAAUAAUUCUUUUGAAGCUCCAGAAUAAUCAAAACUGAGUCUAGAAUCAAGCUAGAAUGCCCAUUUGAGUUCACUGGUGAUGUUAGAGUGAUACUUAGUUCAAGGAGUAUAUCCAGAUACCCCAAUCAAAAAAAUCAUCUGAAGCCAUGCGAACAAACUGAUGGCACUUCUAGAAUAGUGUCUUUCCACAAAAUUAGUUAGAUAAGCCUAUGUAAUCCCAAAAUUUAUAAAAUGCUCCCGUUCCAUCCAAGAUGAACGUAAACAUUCCUGCACAACGAUUGGCAACAAUCCUCAACCCAACAGCCUUCAUCACCAUCCUAUGAUGCUAUCUAACACUCAAUAGUUCUAGCAAAACCAAAAUCAGAUGGUCUGUUUUGCUCAAUGAAUUACUUAUUAUCAUUACCAACCCGUGUGGCAGGUUGAUAUGGCAUAGACUAAAUAGUAUGAUUCAUAAACAGGCUUAAAAUAAUGCAAUACUGAGUUCUUUACCAAAUCAAGCAUUGGCAUUUCAUGUUCCCUGGGUUUCCAUUCGUUCCAAAAACAAACAACUGUCUUGCUAGAGAAAAUCAUGCUCAGAAUUCAUAUAGUUGUGCUUCAUUUAUGCAAGAAUCAAGACGAUUCAUGAGUUUAGCAAGUAGUUAAGCAUCUAGCAAACUGAUUGAUACUUAAAGCCCCCAUUUUCUUUUUUUCUUUUUUGUCAAAAUUCACUUGUAGCAACGCACAAGCGGAACUAAGCAUUCGAAAGUGUAUAUCCUAUUGAACCAAAAGUUGCAAUCACGAGCUGCUCACUCACCAUCUGUAUCGCAUGAAGUGGCCAUCAACAGGCGCGGCCUCAGGCACGUCGUCGGUGGAGAUUACACCGUUGGGCAGCCGCAGCAGCACGUACGGGGUGAUUUCGCACCCCACGAUCGGGAUCUCCGACGGCAGGUGCACCCGCACC
rnacentral:lncRNA from 1 species